AGUAUAAAAAUAGUCACGUUACAGUAGCGGGCUAAUGUUAUCUCACACGCAGUGUUCAACAUUGGCAAAAUAUACUAAAGUCAGAAGCGACUGUGGAAGGUAUUUGUUUAUGUCUUGUGUAGUGCGUAUGUUCUAUUGUAAAAAUCCCCUUAACUUUUAUCGUAAUAUACAUACGAGGUCGUUAUGGACGAUGAUAUAUUUGACGAAGAAGCUUCUGAAAUGGAAGUAAUCUCCCAAGAAUGGAACCAAGUUUGCCAGUCACGUUUAAAGAAUGGAUAUGUGGAAGGAGCUACAAUCGGCCAGCAAGAAACUAUACAGAAUGGAUUUAACUCUGGUUUCAAGCAAGGGCUUCUUUCAUGCUUUCUACUCUCAAAAAUGAAAGGCAUUUUAACAGGCUUAAUCGGCAUAUCAAGCUUAAUACGUAAGGCAAUCCUAUUCCUGAUGAUAUAAUAUAAGAUGCACAUGGUAUCUUAGAGACAAUAUCAACACUAGAAACCGAUUGUGUAGCAGAAGACUUUUUGUCUAUGAGUUUAACAGGUGUUGUAACAGCAAAUACUAAAAAAGAGCCGACGAGCUCUGCAGAUGCUUUGGAAAUGGACAUUGAUAUUAAUAGAAGUACUUCAUGUAAUAACUGUACGUGCAACAACAAAGCUGACAAUGAACACGCUUAUGAAAACCAGCAAGAUACGUUUACUAAUGUUACAACAUCAGAGUUUCUUCUACCUAACCUGGAAGAUACGACAUUAGAAGACGCAAAGCUAAUAUUACUUAACUGCCCCCAAAUCACCGAGGUUGUUAAAAGAUGUAAAGCAGUUUUAAAAAGACUGAAAUGGACAGAUGUAAUGAUUGAUCAAUUGAUUUAACUUAUGUUUGUUUUGCGCUAUUUAAAGAAUAACCAACUAAAUACACUUGGUAUUAAUUACUAGAUCCUA